rnacentral:rRNA from 1 species
GACGAACGCUGGCGGCGUGCUUAACACAUGCAAGUCGAACGGAAAGGCCCUGCUUUUGUGGGGUGCUCGAGUGGCGAACGGGUGAGUAACACGUGAGUAACCUGCCUUUGACUUUGGGAUAACUUCAGGAAACUGGGGCUAAUACCGGAUAGGAGCUCCUGCUGCAUGGUGGGGGUUGGAAAGUUUCGGCGGUUGGGGAUGGACUCGCGGCUUAUCAGCUUGUUGGUGGGGUAGUGGCUUACCAAGGCUUUGACGGGUAGCCGGCCUGAGAGGGUGACCGGCCACAAUGGGACUGAGAUACGGCCCAGACUCCUACGGGAGGCAGCAGUGGGGAAUAUUGCACAAUGGGCGGAAGCCUGAUGCAGCAACGCCGCGUGCGGGAUGACGGCCUUCGGGUUGUAAACCGCUUUCGCCUGUGACGAAGCGUGAGUGACGGUAAUGGGUAAAGAAGCACCGGCUAACUACGUG